rnacentral:rRNA from 1 species
AGUGAACGCUGGCGGUAGGCCUAACACAUGCAAGUCGAACGGCAGCACAGUAAGAGCUUGCUCUUACGGGUGGCGAGUGGCGGACGGGUGAGGAAUACAUCGGAAUCUACUUUUUCGUGGGGGAUAACGUAGGGAGACUUACGCUAAUACCGCAUACGACCUACGGGUGAAAGCAGGGGAUCUUCGGACCUUGCGCGAUUGAAUGAGCCGAUGUCGGAUUAGCUAGUUGGCGGGGUAAAGGCCCACCAAGGCGACGAUCCGUAGCUGGUCUGAGAGGAUGAUCAGCCACACUGGAACUGAGACACGGUCCAGACUCCUACGGGAGGCAGCAGUGGGGAAUAUUGGACAAUGGGCGAAAGCCUGAUCCAGCCAUACCGCGUGGGUGAAGAAGGCCUGCGGGUUGUAAAGCCCUUUUGUUGGGAAAGAAAAGCAGCAGGUUAAUACCCCGCUGUUCUGACGGUACCCAAAGAAUAAGCACCGGCUAACUUCGU